ACCAUCUCCUGUUUCAGUGACGGGGCGGGAAGGACUGGCACCUACAUCCUCAUCGACAUGGUAUUGAACCGCAUGGCAAAAGGAGUGAAGGAGAUUGACAUCGCGGCCACCCUGGAGCAUGUCCGUGACCAGCGGCCUGGCCUCGUCCGCUCUAAGGACCAGUUUGAGUUUGCCCUGACUGCGGUGGCGGAGGAGGUGAAUGCCAUCCUCAAGGCCCUGCCCCAGUGAGACCCCUGGGGCCCCUCGGUGGGCAGCCCAGCGUCUGCUCCCUCUCCGCCUGUGUGAGCCUCUUUCCAUGUACUCGCUCCUCGCGUCCCCGCCCGCCGCCUUGGCCCCUCUUGGGCAUGUCUGGCCCUUCCAAGAGGAGCAUGGAAGGAAGGGGAAGCGGGAAGGGGCGGAUCUGCCCUGCCUCUCACCUGCCAGAGCCCGGGUGUCCCAUGGGGGAGCUGGCAGCCGGCCUGGAGGAGAAGAAAAGUCCUAAGCAGCAAUUCCACCUAGAGCCUCCUCCUGCUUGAGUUCCCUGGCCCCCAUCUCCCACCACUCUGGAUGCUCCCAGUGUGUGGUGACGCCCCCCCCGCCCUCCAGUGUGGAUAGAAUGGGGUGAGGGCUGCCAUGCCCAGCUCUUCCUGCUUCCCCAGCCCUGCCGCCCCGCUGUCCAGCCUCCGAGCCCCACACUCUGGCCCUGGCCCUUCCCACCCCCCUCCCCCUGCCCUCCGGCCACGUGCCACUCAACUCUCUCCCUCUGGUACAAGAGAACAUUUCUAGAAAAAUCUACUUUUGUAUCAAUGUGAAUAAAGUUAGUGUGUCGUCGUGCAGCU
rnacentral:lncRNA from 1 species